rnacentral:snRNA from 1 species
GAGAGAGUAACGGAACAUGAGAG